rnacentral:rRNA from 1 species
GAUGAACGCUAGCGGCAGGCUUAACACAUGCAAGUCGAGGGGUAGAGGUUGCUUGCAACCUUGAGACUGGCGCACGGGUGCGUAACGCGUAUGCAACCUACCUUUUACAGAGGGAUAGCCCAGAGAAAUUUGGAUUAAUACCUCAUAGUAUAUAACCUUCGCAUGUUGGGUAUAUUAAAGUUCCAACGGUAAAAGAUGGGCAUGCGUCCUAUUAGCUAGAUGAUAAGGUAACGGCUUACCAUGGCAACGAUAGGUAGGGGUCCUGAGAGGGAGAUCCCCCACACUGGUACAGAGACACGGACCAGGCUCCUACGGGAGGCAGCAGUGAGGAAUAUUGGACAAUGGGCGCAAGCCGGAUCCAGCCAUGCCGCGUGCAGGAAGAAGCAUCUAUGGUGUGUAAACUGCUUUUGUACAGGAAGAAACACCCCGACGUGUCGGGGCUUGACGGUACUGUAAGAAUAAGGAUCGGCUAACUCCGUGCCAGCAGCCGCCGUAA